UACGUAGGUGACAAGCGUUGUCCGGAUUUAUUGGGCGUAAAGAGCGUGUAGGCGGCCGGGUAGGUCUGGUGUGAAAACUCGAGGCUUAACCUUGAGAUGUCAUCGGAAACCAUUUGGCUAGAGUCCGGAAGAGGAAAGUGGAAUUCCUGGUGUAGCGGUGAAAUGCGCAGAUAUCAGGAAGAACACCAAUGGCGAAAAGCAGCUCGCUGGGACGUAACUGACGCUGAGACGCGAAAGCGUGGGGAGCAAACAGG
rnacentral:rRNA from 1 species